CUGUCCACCAUUAAACUAUCUUUCCAAGCAGUCUCCAUGUUUCCAGUGUCUUUUUCCCCACUUGGAACUGAACCCAGAUGGACAUUUCUUCCAAGAGUAGGAUGGGAAGACCAAUCCAAUGAAAUACAUUAUGACCUUAGUAACAGGAAAAACAGAAAACGAUGGAAGAUGGGAAAGGACAAGAAAGAAAGAAAGAAGAUAAAAACUGCAGAGGAAGGAAGAGUCUGCCUUCCCAAAAUGAGCACUUCCAGUAAGGCAGAAGAAGGGAAGGACAAAAACAAAACGAUCUGGGAAGAUAGAAACAAAUAAAGAAAAUAAUUUUUAAAAAGAGCAACGUUCCUGAACUGGAUACCUUGUGCUUAUUGUGACUGCAACUUCCACAACAGGAGUUGCAAAUGCAAAUCUUCUGGAGGACAUCAAGUUGAGGAAGACUGAUAUAGACUGGAAGACAUCAAUUUAGCAAACAAAGAUUUCUAAAAUGACUUUUUUCAGACAUGUAGCAGAGGGAAAAACAUACAAGAAAAAGCAUUAAAAUGUAAUCCUCCGACAUCAGUCUGUUUCAUGUUCAAAACUCACUGGGCUUAUCUUUACCAGGUUUUUAUUUAUUUUGUUUGAUGAUUGAUACAUGUUUGUUUUGGACUCCAAAAGCCUUCAGAGAACUGUAUAUACUGAAGAAGCUGAUUCUCCAGCCCCUAUACAGUUGGGGUUUAGAACUGGGCAUAAGAAAGAAACUAUUUAUGAUGUUGGUUGAUGGCCUUAUUGGGAAGUGGGUUCAUAUUAGAUUUCUUGGCUGCCUUUGACACGAUCAACCAUGAAAUCCUUCUAAACUAUCUGUGAGGAUUGGAGUCAUUAUGUUUGAAUUGUUUCAGUCCUUCCUUCGUAGCCAAUUCUAGUUGAUGGUUGCAGAAGAGAAGUUGGCCUCAUCUGGCUUACAUGUGGAGUCCAUGUAAAGCUUGAUCCUCUCCCCACUACUUUUUAAUGCUUGUAUGAAAUAGUUGAUAUUGGUUAGUUUAGGUGAGGUAUCAUCACUCUGGUCCACUCUGACAAUACAGAUGGAAUCUCAUUCUAGUAUCAGAAGAUAUGGAUAGGUAGGAAUGAGCUGAAAUUAAAUCUAAGCAAGUGCAAUUACUAUUUCUUCACUGAUGUUCUCUGCUAGCUCUGAUGAUAUCGCAUGAAGGGAUGGUAUUAUUCCUGGAGCAUGUCCAUGUUUUGAGGGUCCUUCCCACAACUAAAUAAGAUAGGUGUAGGGCACAGCUGGAAGGCAUUUUACUGACCUACCUGAAGUGGCUGGGCAACACAAUUUUAACCUCUUGUUACCUGGUUGGACUACUGAAAUGUUCAUUACAAAGGUUUGCCUUUGAAGACCACACAGAAACUAUACCAAAAUAUAGUGAUCCACAUGCUAACUUAGAGCUAGGCUCUAUAAACAUAUUACACCUGUGCUAUGGGUCUGUGUUGGCUUCCAGAAGCUUUCUUCCCAUGGUUUAAAGUGUUGUUCUUAGAUUAUCAAGACAUAUAAGGUUUGGCAUCAAAUUAUUUUCAGGGCCAUCUCCUUCAACCAAAAUGAAUUCUUCAAUACAACAACUCAGAAAUUUUCUUUAGUAGUUUUCCACUAUUAUGAAAUUAGGUGGGCUGAAGCUAUGUGUUUCCAUUUUGUAGAACAAUCUUUCAAUGGGUAUUACACUUACCUGUUGAUUUUCUGGUAGCAGAUUAAAAGCAAGGUCUUCCAGAUACCGUUAUGUUAUUAUAUCAUGGAUAUUUAAUAAUUUGUUAAUUAUUUGACUAUGACAGUCUAAAACAAGAUAGAUAGAUAGAUAGACAGACAGACAGAGACAGAAAGACAUUUACUACAAAGAAACCUGCAGACAUUAACUAUAGAGCAAACUGUAUUAGCAACU